AGUGCUCGCGGCCGAGGGUAGGCUUUGCAACUAACCAGCAAUUUGGCAAAUGAAAAACUAACGUCAUGUCGACUGGGGUGCAACAACGGUCACACCAACAACAACGGCCGUGCGAUUCUGCCCAUUUUGCCCCAUUUUGCAAACCGUUAUUCUUCUGGGGCGGGGGAAGCAAAGCAGCGAUCCUGACUUUAUUAGACCCAGGAAUAUAACGAUCUGGGGCGGCUGCCCUAGCCUUAUUGUUCACUCUUCCCGGAGCCGGGGCUGACAAGCCACUUCCCCCUCGGAAUCCGAGCCCGUGCGGCGGCACCACCCGAGCCGCGACCUCCCCCGCCCCGCCGCCCGCCUUUGGGGAAGGAGCGCUGCCCAUCACCAGCGCGGCCGCUGAGUCCCCAGGAGCCGGCCGGCUCUGCUCCCACCGCCGCGGGCGCACAAAGUGGGAAGGGCGGACGCGCCGGAGGGGCGCCGGGCGCUGGCGGCUCGGGGAGGCAGCCCCGUGCAGCGCAGCCCUGGAGGGAGCGGGGUUCGGCUGGGCAGCAAGGGCGACGCGCUCCUUUCACAGCUAAACGAAAAUGACCAGCCUUAGCAGUCCACGUAAAACCACCCAAAAUAAUAGCGUUCCUCCUAGGAGUAGGAGGAAGGGGUAAUUAGCAAACCAGAUUGAGAAUUAAAAAAAAAAAAAAUGUACCUGCAGUUCCCAGGAAAAACAAAGUCCAGAUGAGAUCCUUAGUUUGCAGCAUUGUAAUCUGCUGGCUGGGAGGGAUGUUCUUGCCGCGGUAAAUUCUGUGCCCCCCCCCCUGCAGCGAGUGUGGACGGCGGCUGAGCGACAGACCUAGGGGCAGACAAUUGCCAGGCUGAGUAUGAUUAUUUUUGCAGAAUUGUUUCCUGCCAGCGGCAGCCGAGCUGCGUUCACGCGCUGAUCGGAGAAUGAGUGACAGUCCCAGCCUCAGCACACUCGCAACUCGGAGAUCCUUGCGCUGGCCCGGGUUCGUUUUGAUGGAACUGGGAUGGGAGCGAGGAGCGGGGGGCGGGGGUGAGAACCUCACUGUGUCCUUCCACCACGCCGGCCACAAAUAGUGCCGAACAUCAAGGAGGUAAGAGAGACAGGGGAGGCAGAUGCGGAAGCCUGCAAAACGCGGCCUGGAGCUUUUGGGGGAGCCGGGCUCUUUCACACGCAGUCUCCCUGGGAGAGCUGGGAUUUCUUUUCACACUUCUACCCUACGCCUUCGCAGGCGCUCCUGCUACCCAGCCUUCCUUAAUCAGCAGUUUGCAUAUUUUGAUAACUAGUAAAUAAUAAAAGCAAAAUUUUAGAUUUGGUUAGGUAAAGUUGUCAAAUCCCUCCAUUUCGAUUCUAAGAUCCUUGCAACACAAGGAUAGCCCAGGACUUUAAGUGCGGGAAAUUAGAACUUUGGAGAGGGAUGGGGGUUGCCGUUGCUGGGUGUUGUUUGGAUAUUGUUUGUUUGUUUGUUUUAUCCUAACUGUGAAGUUUGCUCUCCCACAGAGAGACAUACAACACCCUUCAGCAGAUCCCCUGGGAAGGAGGUGGGAAGAGACUUAAGUUAGAAGAAAACUCCGAUGUUUGGAAGAGAUUUCCAGAAAUAACCCGAAGAAAAUGUUUUCCUGUUUAUAAAUUCUGAAAUCUGUGGUCUCUUUAUUAAAAUAGCCAGGCUUUUAUAUAGGUAUUAUGAUAUAGAAGCGUCAUUAAAUAAUAUUUUCUUACAUGGGGACGUGACCUUAAUUCUUAAAGAUAUUAAUGUAUAAUAUUACUGAGGUACCAACACAAUAGGCUUUAAUUAAAAUUCCACCCGUGUUUUCAAAAGUAGGGGGUGGAGAAAGCGGGGUGAAAAGAAUCAUGUCUCAGCACCUGAAGGCUUGGGUAUGUAAGGAACUAAUGUGAGAAAGGUGUUCUAGAUGUCAGGUUAACCCAUUAGCCUAGAACACUGAAACCCUCUAACAGAGGAAGUCUGCAUAAGUUCAAAGGCAUUAAAGCACUAAUGUUACCGGGUACUCCGUUUUUCUUCAAAGGUCGGCCUCCCCACUCCUGUAGCAGGUUUUUUGUUUUGUUUUGUUUUGUUUUGUUUCUGUUUUGUUUUUUUGAGAUGGAGCCUCGCUCUGUCGCCCAGGCUGCAGUGCAGUGGCGCCAUCUCUGCUCACUGCAACCUCUGCUCCCGGUUCAAGCGAUUCUGCUGCCUCAGCCUCCUGAGUAGCUGGGAUUACAGGCGCGCGCCACCACGCCCAGCUAAUUUUUGUAUUUUUAGUAGAGACGGUGUUUCACCAUGUUGGUCAGGCCGGUCUCGAACUCCUGACCUCGUGAUCUGCCCACCUCAGCCUCCCAAAGUGCUAGGAUUACAGCCGUGAGCUACCGCACCCAGCCGCUGUAGCAGUUUUUAAAAGUCCAUCCUCUACUGUCAGGACAUCCAUCCUUAUUGGACAGGCCCCAUCUCUUCCCCACUUUCCUCCUCUAUAAUAGACCAAGUGGGCCACACCAGUACAGUGUAAUUAGCUUGGACCCCUGAAAAGUAUUUCUUCCCCCAAGUAAAUCUUCCACAACGUUUACUUUGGGCUAUUUCUCUCAUUCCAAGUAUAAACAAUUCAAAAGUACAGAAAAGUAGAAAGAACUAAAAAUAACCCCAAAUCCCACAGAUUCCAGAGAUACUCAUAGAUUUUGUCUUCUGUAUGUGCAUAUGAUUUUUAUAAUUGACAUAUUAUAGUAGCAAUUUGAAUCCUGCUGAUUUUGCCUAACAUCAGUAUAAGCAUUUAUUCCUCUGGAUCAUUAAAAAGCUUUUCUAGAUAUUUUUAUAGCUAUGUAAUAUUUCUUCAUAUGGAUGAUUUUGCAAUGGUUUCCCCAUUUUUGCAUAUUUAUAUUGUUUGUGGAGUUUGAUAAUAUAAAUAAGGCUUUUUUGAACAUCUUUCAACAAAUAUUUGCGGAGCAACCACUGGGUUUAGCCCUGUGCUAGAUGCAGUGAAUUAUAUACGUCUUUUUUUAAUGGUUGCUGUAUUUAAGUGUCUUUGAUUUCAGACUUCUGCUUCUAACAUCUAAAAUCACCACAUUAAAUAUUACAGAUUUAUGUA
rnacentral:lncRNA from 1 species